rnacentral:rRNA from 1 species
GCGAAGUGAACAGGAAAAAGCUCAAAGUUGGAACCUGCUUGACUUAGUCAAGCCGGAUUGUAAACUGUAGAAACGUUUUCUAGGCAAGCCGAGUUAAAAAGUCCUUUGGAACAGGGCAUCAUAGAGGGUGAGAAUCCCGUCUUUGACUUGAGCAUUUGUCUUUUAUGAUACGUUUUCAAAGAGUCAGGUUGUUUGGGAAUGCAGCCUAAAUUGGGUGGUAAAUCUCACCUAAAGCUAAAUAUUGACGAGAGACCGAUAGCGAACAAGUACCGUGAGGGAAAGAUGAAAAGAACUUUGAAAAGAGAGUUAAACAGUAUGUGAAAUUGUUAAAAGGGAACCGUUUGGAGCCAGAUUGGCUUGGCUGUAAUCAUUCUGGGCUUUGGCCUUGAUGCACUUGCAGUCUUUGCCUGCCAACGGCAGUUUUCUUCAAUAGGGAGAAAAUUGGUAGAAAUGUAGGUCAGGUUUCGGCUUGGCUGUUAUAGUCUAUCAAAUAAUACCUUGAAGGGGACUGAGGAUCGCAGUGAAUGCUUAGGCGGUAAUUUUAGUUUGUUAUUCUUGUUUAUGUUGGUAAAAUGACUAUGUUCGGGUAGUGUUAUCGAUGUAAGCGGAAGUACCAGGCUAUAUUUCUAAUCAC